GUCAUGGGCUUCAGGCUCCUCUGCUGGGUGGCCCUUGGUCUCCUGGGAGCAGGCCCUGCGGAUGCUGAGGUCACUCAAAGCCCCAGACACCUGGUCACAGCAAGGGGUCAGGCAGUGACCCUGAGAUGCAACUAUGAAUCUGGGCACCAGUAUGUGUCCUGGUACCAACAGGCUCUGGGCAAGGGCCCCCUGUUCCUUGCUCGUUAUGUAAAUGGAGAAGAGGAGUUAAAAGGAGACAUCCCUGUGCACUUCUCAGUCCAACAGUUCAGUCAGGACUCCUGCUCGGAGCUGAGCGUGAGCUCCGUGGAAGGGGGCGACUCUGCCCUGUACCUCUGUGCCAGCAGCCUCACAGCCCUGCCUGCUCGGCUGCCUCCUGCACAAAAACAGCCCUGGCCAGCCCAGGAAGUGGCAGCAAGGGGAGGCGGCCAGGAGGCCGGGCUGAGCUUGUGCAAAGGACAGUCUCUGUGCCCUCAGGUUUGGGAGGGGAUUUAG